GCUUCUCGAAUUAUAGGGAGCAAACUAAAAACGAACCGGACGACCACCACCACCACCACCAUCACCACCACCGCCUGCAUAACCUCCAGCACCAUAACCGCCUCCAUAUAUAUACUCCAGCACCAUAAUCACCGCUACCACCUCCCUAUCCACCAGCUCCAUAGCCAAUGCCGCCGCCACCACCACCGCUACCACUUCCAUAGCCAACAACACCAUGAUCACCACCUACACCUCCAUAGCCACCACCUCCACCAGUACCUCUCCCACCACCAUACCCUCCUCUUCCUUCAAUGGUGAGGAGAGCUCUAGCUACUGAACAUAAUGCAACACCCAAUUAUAAGAUGAAGAAAACAACACUAUAAAGAACUACUUUGUGUAUAGCCAUGCAUAUAUAUAUAUAUAUAUAAUUAAUUAGAUAUCCCACAUUAUUUAAUACUAA
rnacentral:lncRNA from 1 species